rnacentral:rRNA from 1 species
UGGANUUCGGCUUAGAGUUUGAUCCUGGCUCAGACCGAACGCUGGCGGCAGGCCUAACACAUGCAAGUCGAACGCUCCAGCAAUGGAGAGUGGCAGACGGGUGAGUAACACGUGGGACCCUUCCCUUUGGUUCGGAAUAGCCCAGGGAAACUUGGGGUAAUACCGGAUAAGCCCUUACGGGGAAAGAUUUAUCGCCGAAGGAUGGGCCCGCCUCGGAUUAGCUAGUUGGUGGGGUACCGGCCUACCAAGGCGACGAUCCGUAGCUGGUCUGAGAGGAUGAUCAGCCACACUGGGACUGAGACACGGCCCAGACUCCUACGGGAGGCACGCAGUGGGGAAUAUUGGACAAUGGGCGCAAGCCUGAUCCAGCCCAUGCCGCGUGAGUGACGAAGGCCUUAGGGUUGUAAAGCUCUUUUGGCG